UACGGGAGGCAGCAGUGGGGAAUAUUGCACAAUGGGCGCAAGCCUGAUGCAGCCAUGCCGCGUGUAUGAAGAAGGCCUUCGGGUUGUAAAGUACUUUCAGUCGUGAGGAAGGUGUUAAGGUUAAUAACCUUAGCAAUUGACGUUAGCGACAGAAGAAGCACCGGCUAACUCCGUGCCAGCAGCCGCGGUAAUACGGAGGGUGCGAGCGUUAAUCGGAAUUACUGGGCGUAAAGGGCACGCAGGCGGUUAAUUAAGUUGGAUGUGAAUCCCCGGGCUUAACCUGGGAAUGGCAUUCAAGACUGGUUAGCUAGAGUCUUGUAGAGGGGGUAGAAUUCCAUGUGUAGCGGUGAAAUGCGUAGAGAUGUGGAGGAAUACCGGUGGCGAAGGCGGCCCCUGGACAAAGGCUGACGCUCAUGUGCGAAAGCGUGGGGAGCAAACG
rnacentral:rRNA from 1 species